CCUACGGGGUGCAGCAGUGGGGAAUAUUGGACAAUGGGCGAAAGCCUGAUCCAGCCAUGCCGCGUGUGUGAAGAAGGCCUUCGGGUUGUAAAGCACUUUCAGUGGGGAAGAAAGCCUUGGGGCUAAUACCCUCGAGGAUGGACAUCACCCACAGAAGAAGCACCGGCUAACUCCGUGCCAGCAGCCGCGGUAAUACGGAGGGUGCGAGCGUUAAUCGGAAUUACUGGGCGUAAAGCGCGCGUAGGCGGUCUGAUAAGCCGGUUGUGAAAGCCCCGGGCUCAAACUGGGAACGGCAUCCGGAACUGUCAGGCUAGAGUGCAGGAGAAGAAGGUAGAAUUCCCGGUGGAGCGGUGAAAUGCGUAGAGAUCGGGAGGAAUACCAGUGGCGAAGGCGGCCUUCUGGACUGACACUGACGCUGAGGUGCGAAAGCGUGGGUAGCAAACAGGAUUAGAAUACCCCGGUAGUC
rnacentral:rRNA from 1 species